AGCGAACGCUGGCGGCAGGCCUAAUACAUGCCAGUCGAACGAACUCUUCGGAGUUAGUGGCGGACGGGUGUGUAACACGUGGGAACGUGCCCUUUGGUUCGGAAUAACUCAGGGAAACUUGUGCUAAUACCGAAUGUGCCCUUCGGGGGAAAGAUUUAUUGCCAUUAGUGCUGCCCUCGUCUGAUUCGCUAUUUGUGUAGGUAACGGCUCCCCAAGGCGAGGAUCAGUAGCUGGUCUGAGAGGAUGACCAGCCACACUGGGACUGAGACACGGCCCAGACUCCUACGGGAGGCAGGAGUGGGGGAUCUUGCGAAAUGGGGGGAAGGAUGACGCAGCCAUGCCGGGUGAAUGAUGAAGGUCUUAGGAUUGUAAAAUUCUUUCACCGGGGACGAUAAUGACGGUACCCGGAGAAGAAGCCCCGGCUAACUUCGUG
rnacentral:rRNA from 1 species